UACGUAGGGGGCAAGCGUUGUCCGGAUUUAUUGGGCGUAAAGAGCGUGUAGGCGGCCAUGCAGGUCCGUUGUGAAAACUCGAGGCUCAACCUCGAGACGCCGAUGGAAACCGCAUGGCUAGAGUCCGGAAGAGGAGAGUGGAAUUCCUGGUGUAGCGGUGAAAUGCGCAGAUAUCAGGAAGAACACCCGUGGCUAAGGCGGCUCUCUAGUACGGUACUGACGCUGAGGCGCGAAAGCUAGGGGAGCAAACAGG
rnacentral:rRNA from 1 species